ACAAAAGCGAUGAGAGGAACAAGUAGCAGGCCCCUUCCUUUCAGAGAGCCGGUGGGUGGUGCGAACCGGCAAGGAAGAGCUUGUGAAUCCAUCCUCGAGCAAAACGUUGAACGCCCAAAGGGCCAGUAGGCGUUUUCGGCCGCCGCCGUUAACGGCAAAAGAGGAAGGCAUAGCAAGCCUUCAAUAAGGGUGGCACCGCGGGAUCGCUCCCGUCCCUUUU
rnacentral:ncRNA from 1 species